ACAGCUCAUUGAUGAGAGGUCGGCAGUCCUGUGGGUGACAACAGCUCGGUGAUGAGAGGUCGGCAGUCCUGUGGGUGAAAACAGCUCAUUGAUGAGAGGUCGGCAGUCCUGUGGGUGAAAACAGCUCAUUAAUGAGGUCGGCAGUCCUGUGGGUGAAAACAGCUCAUUGAUGAGAGGUUGACAGUCCUGUGGGUGAAAACAGCUCAUUGAUGAGAGGUCGGCAGUCCUGUGGGUGAAACAGCUCAUUGAUGAGAGGUCGGCAGUCCUGUGGGUGAAAACAGC